AUUGAACGCUGGCGGCAGGCCUAACACAUGCAAGUCGAACGAGUGGCGGACGGGUGAGUAAUGUCUGGGAAACUGCCUGAUGGAGGGGGAUAACUACUGGAAACGGUAGCUAAUACCGCAUACCAUCAGAUGUGCCCAGAAGGGAUUAGCUAGUCGGUGGGGUAACGGCUCACCAAGGCGACGAUCCCUAGCUGGUCUUCUAGGAUGACCAUCCACGCGGGAACUGGGACGCGGUCCAGACUCCUACGGUAGGCAGCAGUGGGGAAUAUUGCACAAGUGGCGCAAGCCUGAUGCAUGCAUGCCGCGUGUAUGAAGAAGGCCUUCGGGUUGUAAAGUACUUUCAGCGGGGAGGCGUUACCCGCAGAAGAAGCACCGGCUAACUCCGUGCCAGCCGCCGCGGUAAUAC
rnacentral:rRNA from 1 species